CAGAUUCUGCAGUCUGGAAGAUAUGAUUCUGCGUUUGGUUUUCUCGUAUCUUCAAAAUUGUGGAUGCCACAGAUUUCGUACUUUCUGGGGGCAGAAGAGAGCGUGCUCUUAUAGUCUCUGAGAGCUAGGCUCCAAAAAAGACGGACGAACAGACAGGCUACAUCGACUCGGCAAAUUGAUGAUGAUCAAGAAUAUAUAUACUUUAUGAUGAAGAUUAUACAGCGCUAGAACUCAGAGGUACCAACGGAGAACUUGAAGGCUCUGAACAAUGGAAGAUCACUACCCAACGGUUUGGGGCAGUGCGUCAUUAUCCAAAUUAACAAGGAGGUUAAGGAUCUGCUCUACCCCAGCUUCAGGAAGAUGACGUGGGACAUGGUAGCGUAUAGCUGCCACCGUGCAGUCAGGCGAGUAAGACCUCGGGCUGGAGACCAUCGUCGAGUCAGUCCAGGGUUGUGUGAUAGAGGACUCGGAACAGGAGGAAGACGGCACCUGACGAUAGUAGUCAAUCCGUUAUGUGCAGCACGGAGGACCUGACAGUAGUGAUGCUGUAAAGUGAGGAAAAGCACCUUUUGGCGACUUUAUGCUACCCUCUACAAAAGAUAACGAGGGGGAACAUUGUGAGUUGCUGCGGACACCGCAACUCUACAGUUAUACCCGAUAUUAAGUCAGUAUGGCUCACCUCCG